GCUUAACACAUGCAAGUCGAACGCUGAAGCCGACAGCUUGCUGUUGGUGGAUGAGUGGCGAACGGGUGAGUAACACGUGAGUAACCUGCCCCUGAUUUCGGGAUAAGCCUGGGAAACUGGGUCUAAUACCGGAUAUGACCUCCUGACGCAUGUUGGGUGGUGGAAAGUUUUUCGAUCGGGGAUGGGCUCGCGGCCUAUCAGCUUGUUGGUGGGGUAAUGGCCUACCAAGGCGACGACGGGUAGCCGGCCUGAGAGGGCGACCGGCCACACUGGGACUGAGACACGGCCCAGACUCCUACGGGAGGCAGCAGUGGGGAAUAUUGCACAAUGGGGGAAACCCUGAUGCAGCGACGCAGCGUGCGGGAUGACGGCCUUCGGGUUGUAAACCGCUUUCAGCAGGGAAGAAGCGAAAGUGACGGUACCUGCAGAAGAAGUACCGGCUAACUACGUGCCAGCAGCCGCGGUAAUACGUAGGGUACGAGCGUUGUCCGGAAUUAUUGGGCGUAAAGAGCUCGUAGGUGGUUGGUCACGUCUGCUGUGGAAACGCAACGCUUAACGUUGCGCGUGCAGUGGGUACGGGCUGACUAGAGUGCAGUAGGGGAGUCUGGAAUUCCUGGUGUAGCGGUGAAAUGCGCAGAUAUCAGGAGGAACACCGGUGGCGAAGGCGGGACUCUGGGCUGUAACUGACACUGAGGAGCGAAAGCAUGGGGAGCGAACAGGAUUAGAUACCCUGGUAGUCCAUGCCGUAAACGUUGGGCACUAGGUGUGGGGGACAUUCC
rnacentral:rRNA from 1 species